rnacentral:rRNA from 1 species
CCUACGGGAGGCAGCAGUGAGGAAUAUUGGUCAAUGGACGAGAGUCUGAACCAGCCAAGUAGCGUGAAGGAUGACUGCCCUAUGGGUUGUAAACUUCUUUUAUAUGGGAAUAAAAUGUUCCACGUGUGGGAUUUUGUAUGUACCAUAUGAAUAAGGAUCGGCUAACUCCGUGCCAGCAGCCGCGGUAAUACGGAGGAUCCGAGCGUUAUCCGGAUUUAUUGGGUUUAAAGGGAGCGUAGGUGGAUUGUUAAGUCAGUUGUGAAAGUUUGCGGCUCAACCGUAAAAUUGCAGUUGAUACUGGCAGUCUUGAGUACAGUAGAGGUGGGUGGAAUUCGUGGUGUAGCGGUGAAAUGCUUAGAUAUCACGAAGAACUCCGAUUGCGAAGGCAGUUCACUGGACUGCAACUGACACUGAGGCUCGAAAGUGUGGGUAUCAAACAGGAUUAGAUACCCUAGUAGUC